AAGGGAAGAAGCUUUUGGAAGUAAGCACUGCGAAGGAGAGAAGCGUUUUGGAGACAGACUUCCUUGGCACAGCAGCCCUGCUUUGGGCAUGGAGGUGCUGAUGCAGGAGUUAUGUGAUGUGGACUGGGAGGAGUGUGCAGGAGCCUGCUGUGUUCAAGCAGAACGAGGUGUUACCCACCAGAAGCACAUUCAAGAUCAAAAUCCUAUUCUGCUACCUACUGUUGCCCUCUGAAGAGACACUCCCUUGCCUACUGAGUCAAAGCAUUUCACAGCCAGUGAUCAAACAUGAAAUGCCCAACAUGCCUGAAAGACAGCUUUGAUUGCUCGCAGAGAGGGCAUCACCAACUGUCCAAAAUGUUUUUCUGUCAUUUUCCUGUCCACCAAAUCCUCGAACAGUUAUACAGCACUGCUCUGCAUGGAGAUCGUCUCCUGGCAAAAUGGUGAACUUGGCUUGCAGGAUGCAUGCACUAGAAACACCAGGGGGUCAAGCAUUGUGCCCGCUGUAGAUGAGCCAUUUGGAGCCAGAUUGUCAAUCCAAAUGCAAGCUGCUCCGUUUCCUGUUUAUGCCUGUGCAGAGUUACACAUCCUGACUCGCUCGCCUUCAGCUGCAGGUUUUUCCGCACUCCCUAGGAGAUUUCUUCCUU